GAGAGAAAGAAGCCCACACCAAGGGUUGUCCCAGGCUCCCGGUGUGUUUGCUACUGCCUGCUGCACAGAGUUCCGACAGGGUCCUCCCUUAACAAGCAAAGAGGAAAAUCAUCUCUGUUGCGAUGCCAGUGUGACUCGGCAAAGUUGCAUCUAGCGUGCGCGUCUGUCCUGGCUGAGGGGGGCUGAGAGAGGCUUUGCUGCCCUUUUCCCCCUUGAAUACGAGUUUCUCGUGACUUUCCACCACCCUGAACUCACAAUGAUCCGUCAAGGACCUUCUCCUAUUUCCCUCCCAGCACCAUCCUAAUUUCCUCCCUUCAGUGGCUUCUCUCCUCUUCAUGAUCACUUUAUCCCUUCCUGGACCAGAGGAAAUAACGAGAGACAGUGCCUCCUCCGCUGAAAAUCCACAGCCAGGCAUGGACCCCUCCCCACCACCUCCUACUAUGGUACUUAAAGACCUCACCAUGAAAAACUGGAUUGCAUAAAGGACUGCUCCUGGACAGAGACCCCUGGCUUGUUAUAUUUGCACAACUGGACAGUUUUCAUGGCAUAGAUUGGAUGGACUCUGUCAGUGACAGGAGGCAAUGUCCCUCCUGAAGGAGGGAAGGGAGUCUCUUCACUAGCAAAUACUCCAGUUUCUCAGCCAUUGGGGAAAAAAAAAAGAUCCUGUGAUUCCAACCAUGGAACUGCUACUCAAAACAACUACAAGAAAGAGGAAGUAGAGACCACGCGAGGUAUUUCCGUGUAAGACUGUUCCACCUUGAGAAAAGAAGCAAAAUGUGGAAAUGGGUCCUUCGCUGGAGAAUGGAUUAAAGAGUCUUUGGUCUCUUUCUGAAUUGUGCUACUUAAUUUAUCAUCACCACCAUCAUCAUCAUCUUUGUUGUCAUCAUCUCCAUCACCCGUGCUUCCUACAUGCCAGAAGUGUUGUGUUCCCUGGUUGAUCUCAUUUAAUUCUUCUGACAGCAAUAUGAGAGAUUUUGCAAUACUAAUGACAAAGAAAGCCUGGUGGAAUCACCUACUGGGAAGGCAGUGGUCCAGCUUUGGGUAAAUCUGAUUCAUUUACUCAGCAAAUAUUUAUGGAGCACUUACCAUGUGCUGUCAGGUUGUUGGGAUACAUCCGUUAACAAGAAGGAAGAAGAUUCCUGUCCUUAUUCUAGCAAAGAAAGCAGGAUUCAAAGCACUUCCUCUUAAGUAAUAGGCCUUGGCAGCUAUGCAGAGCAUUGCAGUGAGAAGCUGCUGUCUUGGGGGAGCUUUACUGCUUUUGGAGAUUUAAUACUGAUCUUGAACUUGAGGUGUGUCUGCAUGAACUUCUAUGCACCAGAAACUUUCAUUUCAAUGCUGAAAUGUGGGGUAAGAUUUUGGUGAAAUUUUAAACAAAUUUAGGGAACUACCUUAAGUAAAUUCAACCAGGUAUCACAUGCAGUCUUACUUUGGAAUUGUGAAAAAAAAAUAAUAAUAAGAGUGGAAAUAUGGAAAGAGAAUGCAAUAGCUACAACAGCAUAAACAUUGACUAUUAAGAAUCAAAAUAAUAUUCAUAAAAAAUAUUCAUUAAGUUAGGUGUCAACAUUUGUAAGAAAUGCACUGUUCCUGGCUUCGAGGUGGAAGAAGGCCGCCACAAGCUAAGGAAUGUGGGCCGCAUCUAGAAGCUGGAAAAGGCAAGAAAACAGUCUCCUCUAGAGCCUCUAGAAGGAAUACAGUCCUGGUGACACCUUGGUCUUGGCCCAGUGAGACCCAUAUCAGAUUUCUAACCUACAGAACUAUAAGAUAGUACAUUUAUGUUUUCUUAAGCCACUAGGUGUGUAAUCAUUUGUUACAACAGCCACAGGAAAGGAAUGCAUGUAUGGUUCUCUACAUUUUUGGUCUCUGCAGAGACAGGGUGGAUGGGGCCAGGAGACUAGCUCUGGCACUUAGAAUGGGGGAUGGGUGUGAUUUGCCCCCUACCUGGGCAAUGUGCCAUGACCUCUCUCUCUGGUGGUUGGACAGCUGAAUGCAGAGGGUCAGUAGAGGGUCAAGGAGGCUCUAGUGGAUGGCAGAGUCGCUGUUUGCAAGGAGCCUUGAAUCUGAAGUCACCACUUGAAAGAGUGUUGCCUCUGGGAGCUGCCCCAACCAAAUGCAUGAGUCUUAAUCCCCUGAGUUCCCAGAGUUCAUUUUUCCCUGCAGCAGAGCUGCUUCUAGUCUAACUCCAGAAUCUCCAAAUCAGAUUAUUUUUUCUUUUUAAAAAAUUUUUAAAGAGUUUUUUUUCUUUUUUUUUUUUUAAGGGAUCAAACUUCUACAUGGGCAAAGUCAGAACUUUGUUGGGCUUCCUUAGCCUUAGUUUGUAAUUCAGUCUUUUUAAAAUUUCACGUAGCACAUGGAGAGCAUUGUAAUCAAAUUUCUAUACUUAGGGCUUGUGACGGUCUUAAACCAGUGCUACUUUCUUGGCCACGGAGGCACCCACAGCCUCACAGUGCAGACAGACAGCUCAUUGGUCUCUUACAGGCUCUUCUGGCCUUUUCCUAAAUAUGCUCUCCAGUGCCAUAAAUUUCUACUUUUGUCCAGAGAUUCCUUUUUCUUGGAAUAUGUACCCCACCCCUUCCUUUAAGCUCAGCUCAAUUCCAUCUCCUUCAAGAUGCCUUUCUAGAUUCUCCAAGGAAUAUGAAUUUCCUUCCUCCAUGAUUCCCUGUGUUCUUUCGUAAUACUUAUUAAUGGAUCCCUGUCCUCUCUACCCAAGUACACACACAGGCACAUCCUAAAAUGUAGCUUCUAGAAGGCAAAUAUCAUCCCAGGCUCACUGUGGUCCUUCACCAUAAGAUAGUGCUCUAGGGCAGUAAAUGCUCUGUGCAUUUGCAAAUUUUAGUAAAACCUCUGUGGCUGGUGGAAGAGUUUUGUUUUGUUUGUUUAAGCAGACAGGAUCACGUGGUGCCUUUUAUAUUAUCAUAUAGGACUGGUCCAUUUAUAUAGAGCAAGGGUCCCCCAAGAUUCCUUGUUCAUCAAAAUCUGAAUGACUAAACCAGGCACUGUGCUAAAGGGCCGGAGCACCACGUACCCUGUGGAACUAUCAAAUGUCACCCACUAGGACAGCUGCAAACCACAUAUAGAGUGUACCUACUACGUACCAGACUUUGGGCAGGUGAUCGACAUCAGCCUGAGCCUCUGGCCAGUCCUUCACUUUCUAGGACUUCUUCCCUUUCAGGGAAAUUUGGCCUCCCAGCAUCUGGGGAACAAGCUGCUUAUUUGCUAAUAUCUGUUUGCACAUCAGGGUUUUUUACUUUUAGGAACAGUUUGUCUCUCUGGCAGAUCUCCGUGUUCCCAUACCGUUGUUUAUGAUGUAACUAAGCAUCUAUCGUAUAGAAUUGAACUCAAUUCUCUUUUGAAACUGCAAGAGAUCUAACCCGCUCAUUUUCUUUCCAUUUAACAUACGAGAGGGGUGUGUAGGAGCAGUUUAUUAAGGGGGAGCUGUUUAUUGAGGGAUCCUGGGGCUAAUCCCAGCCCAUUAUUUCUCCAUUUCCUUACAGCUCACUGAGAAGGGUGGGAGAGAACAGGAACGGGGAGACUAUUCUUUCCUGAGUGAUUGUUUGGCCAGUCCACAGGGAUCCUGACUUUCCUACACCCAUCAGGGAAGUAGCAUCCAGAGGGUCAUUCCAGGGACAGGGCUGGCUGUGUCAGGCUGUAAUGAAUGGUUCAGACUGAGAAGUGGAACUUGGCCAACAACAGGGAAAGACAAUAAUCAUUGGAAAAUUUAGGCAUUGAGAAUAAGAUCCAUGUCUGUCUUAUGUCCCCUGGGUACCAACACAAUGACUUGGCUUAGUAACUGCCCCAUAAUGUUUAAAUUAUGUUCAGUGAAUGAGUGAAUGAAUGGAUGCCGUAUUCUUGCUUCCUUCUCCAAACACUCUUUAUAAAAUUACGGCAUCUCAUUCAUGUCUCCUCUAUAAAUCGGGAAUUUGGUGAGGCAUGCUGUUUAUUGCUUAGGAAUCAUUUUACUUAAUCACAAAGGUCCCAGGGGUUCAGGCGGGGAAAAAAAAAAAAAA
rnacentral:lncRNA from 1 species